rnacentral:rRNA from 1 species
GACGAACGCUGGCGGCGGGCUUAACACAUGCAAGUCGAACGGAAAGGCCCUGCUUUUGUGGGGUGCUCGAGUGGCGAACGGGUGAGUAACAUGUGAGUAACCUUGCCUGGACGUGGGGAUAACUGCAGGAAACUGGGGCUAAUACCUGAGAGGAGCGCCUGCUGCAUGGUGGGGGUCGGAACUUUUCGGCGGAUGGGGAUGGACGCGCGGCUUAUUAGCUGGUGGGGUGAGUAGUUGCUUACCAAGGCUUUGACGGGUAGCCGGCCUGAGAGGGUGACCGGCCACAUUGGGACUACGCUACGGCGCAGACUCCUACGGGAGGCAGCAGUGGGGAAUCUUGCCCAGUGGGCGGAAGCCUGAUGCAGCGACGCCGCGUGCGGGAUGACGGCCUUCGUGUUGUAAACCGCUUUCGCCUGUGACGAAGCGUGAGUGACGGUAAUGGGUAAAGAAGCACCGGCUAACUACGUG